UCAAACGACUCUCGGCAACGGAUAUCUCGGCUCUUGCAUCGAUGAAGAACGUAGCGAAAUGCCAUACUUGGUGUGAAUUGCAGAAUCCCGUGAACCAUCGAGUCUUUGAACGCAAGUUGCGCCCGAGGCCAUUAGGUCGAGGGCACGUCUGCCUGGGCGUCACA
rnacentral:rRNA from 1 species